GUUCGGGCGCAGCGGUUUAUCGAUCUAUUCCUGGAUUCUGAUUAAUACUGGAAACGGUCGAUAAACCUCUGCAUCCGGC